CACUAUACUGUGAAACUGCGAAUGGCUCAUUAAAUCAGUUAUCGUUUAUUUGAUAGUACCUUACUACAUGGAUAACCGUGGUAAUUCUAGAGCUAAUACAUGCUAAAAACCUCGACUUCGGAAGGGGUGUAUUUAUUAGAUAAAAAACCAAUGCCCUUCGGGGCUCCCUGGUGAUUCAUAAUAACUUAACGAAUCGCAUGGCCUUGUGCCGGCGAUGGUUCAUUCAAAUUUCUGCCCUAUCAACUUUCGAUGGUAGGAUAGUGGCCUACCAUGGUUUCAACGGGUAACGGGGAAUUAGGGUUCUAUUCCGGAGAAGGAGCCUGAGAAACGGCUACUACAUCCAAGGAAGGCAGCAGGCGCGCAAAUUACCCAAUCCCGACACGGGGAGGUAGUGACAAUAAAUACUGAUACAGGGCUCUUUUGAGUCUUGUAAUUGGAAUGAGUACAAUUUAAAUACCUUAACGAGGAACAAUUGGAGGGCAAGUCUGGUGCCAGCAGCCGCGGUAAUUCCAGCUCCAAUAGCGUAUAUUAAAGUUGUUGCAGUUAAAAAGCUCGUAGUUGAACCUUGGGCCUGGUUGGCCGGUCCGCCUCACCGCGUGCACUGGUCCGACCGGGUCUUUCCUUCUGGGGAGCCGCAUGCCCUUCACUGGGUGUGUCGGGGAACCAGGACUUUUACUUUGAAAAAAUUAGAGUGUUCAAAGCAGGCCUAUGCUCGAAUACAUUAGCAUGGAAUAAUAGAAUAGGACGUGUGGUUCUAUUUUGUUGGUUUCUAGGACCGCCGUAAUGAUUAAUAGGGAUAGUCGGGGGCAUCAGUAUUCAAUUGUCAGAGGUGAAAUUCUUGGAUUUAUUGAAGACUAACUACUGCGAAAGCAUUUGCCAAGGAUGUUUUCAUUAAUCAGUGAACGAAAGUUAGGGGAUCGAAGACGAUCAGAUACCGUCGUAGUCUUAACCAUAAACUAUGCCGACUAGGGAUCGGGCGAUGUUAUCUUUUUGACUCGCUCGGCACCUCACGAGAAAUCAAAGUC
rnacentral:rRNA from 1 species